rnacentral:lncRNA from 1 species
GCAAAGUUUAUUUUUAACCAGCGAAGUUGGAAAGGGCCUGCGAGAAGCAGCAUCUUUUAACCCAAUUGGCCUCGCUCAAAGCGUCAAGCACCAUCCCUCCUCCCUCUGGCUCGCUGCUUCGCUUCCCCCAGUGGGGUGAAGUUUUUAUGAUUUGUUGACAAAAGAUGAUGGGGAGCGAGAUGGCGUGGGGCUCCCCUCUUUGGAUGGGGAAGUGGAGGCGUCUUUCUCAAGAUAUAAAGUGCUUUUCUGAAGAGCAGUUUGAAGUUUAGAAAGGGUAGGAACUGCUUUAAUCCAUCUUCUCUUAAAGAUCUUUCUAAUAAUGAGUAUAUAGAGGUGAAAACAUAGAAGUGGGAUGGCA